ACGUCUGCUCUUCCGAUCGGAACGUCUUCCGAAACUCCCGGCCCGUGGUCCUCCAGUGCGUCCACUUAGACCGCGUCGGGCACUACCAGAAUUCCAGAAAUGAGCUCACACAGAAAAGACAGAACAAACAGACAGACACUAACCGUGGCCAGUCAGGCUC